UCGGUGCUGUCUAAGUCCCUUUGAAUUGUGCUAGGUGCUGUCUACGUCCUUCUAAGAUGUGCUAGGUGCUGUCCACGUCCUUCUAAGAUGUGCUAGGUGCUGUCUAUGUCCUUCUUAGAUGUGCUAGGUGCUGUCUACGUCCUUCUAA